UAUGUUGUAGACCAAUUGGCAGGUCAUGAAUUUUUGGUAUUCAUUAUUGAGUGUUCGAAUCACUCCAGCAUAA
rnacentral:tRNA from 1 species